UGGGGAAUUUUGGACAAUGGGGGCAACCCUGAUCCAGCCAUUCCGCGUGAGUGAAGAAGGCCUUCGGGUUGUAAAGCUCUUUCAGCUGGAACGAAACGGUACGUCCUAAUACGGUGUGCUAAUGACGGUACCAGCAGAAGAAGCACCGGCUAACUACGUGCCAGCAGCCGCGGUAAUACGUAGGGUGCGAGCGUUAAUCGGAAUUACUGGGCGUAAAGCGUGCGCAGGCGGAUUGUUAAGCAAGAUGUGAAAUCCCCGGGCUUAACCUGGGAAUGGCAUUUUGAACUGGCAGUCUAGAGUGUGUCAGAGGGGGGUGGAAUUCCACGUGUAGCAGUGAAAUGCGUAGAGAUGUGGAGGAACACCAAUGGCGAAGGCAGCCCCCUGGGAUAACACUGACGCUCAUGUACGAAAGCGUGGGUAGCAAACAGG
rnacentral:rRNA from 1 species